AAACGGUUUUUCCGCCUAAAGAGAAGCUUGCGGCUGAUUAGCUUGUUGGUAAGGUAAUGGCUUACCAAGGCGACGAUCAGUAUCUGGUUUGAGAGGACGAUCAGACACACUGGAACUGAGACACGGUCCAGACUCCUACGGGAGGCAGCAGUGGGGAAUUUUCCGCAAUGGGCGAAAGCCUGACGGAGCAAUACCGCGUGAGGGAUGAAUGCCUAUGGGUUGUAAACCUCUUUUUUCAGGGAGGAAUCAAUGACGUUACCUGAAGAAUAAGCAUCGGCUAACUCCGUGCCAGCAGCCGCGGUAAGACGGAGGAUGCAAGUGUUAUCCGGAAUCACUGGGCGUAAAGCGUCUGUAGGUGGUUUGAUAAGUCAACUGUUAAAUCUUGAGGCUCAACCUCAAAACCGCAGUCGAAACUAUUAGACUAGAGUAUAGUAGGGGUAAAGGGAAUUUCCAGUGGAGCGGUGAAAUGCGUAGAGAUUGGAAAGAACACCGAUGGCGAAGGCACUUUACUGGGCUAUUACUAACACUGAGAGACGAAAGCUAGGGUAGCAAAUGGGAUUAGAUACCCCAGUAGUCCUAGCUGUAAACAAUGGAUACUAGAUGUUGAACAGAUCGACCUGUGCAGUAUCAAAGCUAACGCGUUAAGUAUCCCGCCUGGGAAGUAUGCUCGCAAGAGUGAAACUCAAA
rnacentral:rRNA from 1 species